AGAGGGUGAAAGCCCCGUAGAUGAAAUUUGGAAGGCACCUAGGAGGAUCCUGAGUACGGCGGAACACGAGGAAUUCCGUCGGAAUCCGGGAGGACCAUCUCCCAAGGCUAAAUACUCCCUAGUGACCGAUAGUGAACCAGUACCGUGAGGGAAAGGUGAAAAGCACCCCGGAAGGGGAGUGAAAUAGAACCUGAAACCGUGUGCCUACAACAAGUCAAAGCCCGUUAAUGGGUGAUGGCGUGCCUUUUGUAGAAUGAACCGGCGAGUUACGAUUGCAUGCGAGGUUAAGUUGAAGAGACGGAGCCGUAGCGAAAGCGAGUCUGAAUAGGGCGUUUGAGUAUGUAGUCGUAGACCCGAAACCAUGUGAUCUACCCAUGUCCAGGUUGAAGGUGCGGUAAAACGCACUGGAGGACCGAACCCACGUACGUUGAAAAGUGCGGGGAUGAGGUGUGGGUAGCGGAGAAAUUCCAAACGAACUUGGAGAUAGCUGGUUCUCUCCGAAAUAGCUUUAGGGCUAGCCUCGGAAUUGAGAAUGAUGGAGGUAGAGCACUGUUUGGACUAGGGGCCCAUCUCGGGUUACCGAAUUCAGAUAAACUCCGAAUGCCAUUCAUUCAUAUCCGGGAGUCAGACUGUGAGUGAUAAGAUCCAUAGUCGAAAGGGAAACAGCCCAGACCACCAGCUAAGGUCCCAAAAUAUAUGUUAAGUGGAAAAGGAUGUGGGGUUGCACAGACAACUAGGAUGUUGGCUUAGAAGCAGCCACCAUUUAAAGAGUGCGUAAUAGCUCACUAGUCGAGUGACCCUGCGCCGAAAAUGUACCGGGGCUAAACAUAUUACCGAAGCUGUGGAGUACACCUUUAGGUGUAUUGGUAGGAGAGCGUUCUAAGGGCGUUGAAGGUAGAUCGUGAGGACUGCUGGAGCGCUUAGAAGUGAGAAUGCCGGUAUGAGUAGCGAAAGACAGGUGAGAAUCCUGUCCACCGAAUGACUAAGGUUUCCUGGGGAAGGCUCGUCCGCCCAGGGUUAGUCGGGACCUAAGCCGAGGCCGACAGGCGUAGGCGAUGGACAACAGGUUGAUAUUCCUGUACUCGUUGUUUUUGUUUGAGCAAUGGAGGGACGCAGGAGGCUAAGGAAUGCAGACGAUCGGAAAUGUCUGUCCAAGCAGUAAGUCUUGAUAGGAGUCAAAUGCUUCUAACUUUAAGGACAAGCUGUGAUGGGGAGGGAAAUAAUAGUACCGAAGUUCCUGACGUCACACUGCCGAGAAAAGCUUCUAGUGAGAAAAUAACGACCCGUACCGCAAACCGACACAGGUAGUCGAGGAGAGAAUCCUAAGGUGAGCGAGAGAACUCUCGUUAAGGAACUCGGCAAAAUGACCCCGUAACUUCGGGAGAAGGGGUGCUGAUCGUCAGAUCAGCCGCAGUGAAUAGGCCCAAGCGACUGUUUAUCAAAAACACAGGUCUCUGCAAAAUCGUAAGAUGAAGUAUAGGGGCUGACGCCUGCCCGGUGCUGGAAGGUUAAGAGGAGUGCUUAGCGUAAGCGAAGGUACGAAUUGAAGCCCCAGUAAACGGCGGCCGUAACUAUAACGGUCCUAAGGUAGCGAAAUUCCUUGUCGGGUAAGUUCCGACCCGCACGAAAGGCGUAACGAUUUGGGCACUGUCUCAACGAGAGACUCGGUGAAAUUUUAGUACCUGUGAAGAUGCAGGUUACCCGCGACAGGACGGAAAGACCCCAUGGAGCUUUACUGUAGUUUGAUAUUGAGUGUCUGUACCGCAUGUACAGGAUAGGUAGGAGCCGUAGAAGUCGGAACGCUAGUUUCGAUGGAGGCGCUGGUGGGAUACUACCCCUGCGUUAUGGCCACUCUAACCCGCACCACUUAUCGUGGUGGGAGACAGUGUCAGAUGGGCAGUUUGACUGGGGCGGUCGCCUCCUAAAGAGUAACGGAGGCGCCCAAAGGUUCCCUCAGAAUGGUUGGAAAUCAUUCGAAGAGUGUAAAGGCAGAAGGGAGCUUGACUGCGAGACCUACAAGUCGAGCAGGGACGAAAGUCGGGCUUAGUGAUCCGGUGGUUCCGCAUGGAAGGGCCAUCGCUCAACGGAUAAAAGCUACCCUGGGGAUAACAGGCUUAUCUCCCCCAAGAGUCCACAUCGACGGGGAGGUUUGGCACCUCGAUGUCGGCUCGUCGCAUCCUGGGGCUGUAGUCGGUCCCAAGGGUUGGGCUGUUCGCCCAUUAAAGCGGCACGCGAGCUGGGUUCAGAACGUCGUGAGACAGUUCGGUCCCUAUCCGUCGCGGGCGUUGGAAAUUUGAGAGGAGCUGUCCUUAGUACGAGAGGACCGGGAUGGACUUACCGCUGGUGUACCAGUUGUUCUGCCAAGGGCAUUGCUGGGUAGCUAUGUAGGGAAGGGAUAAACGCUGAAAGCAUCUAAGUGUGAAGCCCACCUCAAGAUGAGAUUUCCCAUUUCUUUAAGAAAGUAAGAUCCCUGAGAGAUGAUCAGGUAGAUAGGUCAGGAGUGGAAGUACAGUGAUGUAUGGAGCGGACUGAUACUAAUCGAUCGAGGACUUAACCAA
rnacentral:rRNA from 1 species